rnacentral:ribozyme from 1 species
AAAAAAAAAAGAAAAAGAUAAAAAUGUAGACUUUUUCAGAUGACUUCCUGUUGCAGUCAUUUUUAUUGUUAUUGU